GUUUGUAUUUGUUUGUGUUUGAAUAUUUUCUUUCCUUAUCAUCAUCAUAAUAAUUAUUUGGUCGGGUAUCUUUGUGUGUUUAAAGCAGCAGCAGCAGAAAAUAUAACCGUAUAGCCCGUAGGUGUACGGUUUUUCGAUAAAACCAAAUCCAAAUUAUCAUCGUAUAUUGGUAUAUGUCAUCAUCGCUACGCAUCGUCUUCGUUUGUUGUCCUUUUUUUUAAGAAACAAAAACAAACAAAUCCGAUCAAAUUGAUUUUAAACUUUUGGAUAAUUUUCGAAAUUUGUUUUAAAUUUUAAUAGGAUCUUCAUUUUUUUCAAAUUGAAUUUAAAAAAAA